rnacentral:rRNA from 1 species
UACGGGGGGUGCAAGCGUUAUUCGGAUUUAUUGGGCGUAAAGAGCGCGUAGGCGGUUUAUCAAGUCAGAUGUGAAAGCCCUGGGCUCAACCUGGGAAGUGCAUUUGAAACUAGUAGACUUGAGUAUGGGAGAGGGGAGUGGAAUUCCUGGUGUAGAGGUGAAAUUCGUAGAUAUCAGGAGGAACACCGGUGGCGAAGGCGACUUCCUGGACCAAUACUGACGCUGAGGCGCGAAGGCGUGGGGAGCAAACAGGAUUAGAUACCCUGGUAGUCCACGCAGUAAACGGUGAUCACUAGGUGUAGCGGGUAUUGACCCCUGCUGUGCCGCAGUUAACGCAUUAAGUGAUCCGCCUGGGAAGUACGAUCGCAAGGUUAAA